GCGACCUUGAAGCGGCAUCCGAGGAGAUGUGGCCACGGGGCAGGCGACCGACACCAGCGAGUCCAGAGGGCCAGCGUGUGCACCACUGUGUGUCUCCAGAGACUUCAGGAAGCAGCCACCACGCCCGAGGAAUGCAGGAAGAUGGACACACGGCUGGGGAAGUACAAUGAAAGGCCAAGUAGGCAGCCUGUUCUCCUCAGAUCAGUCCCCCACGAACACUCAUUCCCGAGGACUCAUCCAAUACUAAUAAGAGAAUGCUCUUGUUUUUGAAGAAUUUUCUGAAAGCCAUCCUGACAAAUUAAGUAGAGUAUGCUGAAGAUAGUCAGACUUUGUUUUUAAGAAUUGAAUAUUCUGGAAGAGGCUCUUCAGUCCAAUCUUUAGUUCUCUCCACAGAGCAAACGAAGUGAAGUGCUGAAGGCCUGGAGCCCGAGCUGUUCCCACACGGACUCCAGGACAGUUAAGGCAGGGUUGCCUUAACUAAAUCUCUGACAACUGUUUCUUCUGUCUUUCUCCUAAAAAUGGAAUGCAGGCCAUCUAUUCUAGGGAAAUAAAGGAUUCUAGUUAUGUGAAUCCA